rnacentral:tRNA from 1 species
GGUUUGUGGCUCAAUGGUAGAGCAUUUGCCUCACACAUGUGAGGUACUGGGUUUGAUCCUCAGCACCA